rnacentral:rRNA from 1 species
UACGGAGGGUGCGAGCGUUGUCCGGAAUCACUGGGCGUAAAGGGCGCGUAGGCGGCCUGGCAAGUCGGUGGUGAAAGCCCGUGGCUCAACUACGGGUCGGCCACCGAUACUGCUAUGGCUCGAGUUUGGUAGAGGCAGAUGGAAUUCCGGGUGUAGCGGUGGAAUGCGCAGAUAUCAGGAGGAACACCGAUGGCGAAGGCAGGUCUCUGGGCAUUAACUGACGCUGAGGAGCGAAAGCAUGGGGAGCGAACAGG